GCAGGCGGGUGGCAGUUCACGCUGUCGGUGACCCGCAGCAGUGCCGGCGGGCAACGGAGACAGCCUCAGCCAUCCUUGCUGCCUCACUUAAGGCGGCCAGGGAUGCCGGCAGCUGCACCCCCAGCAUGCAGCAGCACCUUCUAAUGCCCAUAAGCUGCUUGCUCUGCAAGCAGCAACCUGCGCACCUGCUGCAAGAGGCAGAGCACGUGCCAUAGGCAUUAGAGCGGCAGACUCCCAGAAGUUUCUCCAGGUCCUUCAGGGAAACCUUGCAUGUCCAAGACCUGGCAGUGAGAUCUGAGAGCAGGGCGCCAGCCCUCAAAGACUCUAACUGUUCUCAUGCCUCUGCACGCUAGAGCCAAGCAAGGGUACCCUGUGCGCUGCAGCCAGAAGCCCAAGAGUUGGCGUGCAGCUGGCAGUACCGGGGCAUGGUGCAUGCACCAGCAGCCUGGGAGCACCAGCAACAACUGCCCAGGUGCAAGCCACUAAUGCUGGUAAGAUCCCCAUGGCUUGGACAGACGCUCGGGAGGGCACCCGAGGCACUGGUGCAGCCUCUACACCACAUUCCCCAUCUGCAAAGAAGGGCUCAGAAGGGGAGGCACGUCAUGGCAAAGAGCAAACAAGGAGACUCUGUCCCAUCUGUGCCUGAAGAUGUGGAAAAUUCAGCUUCUUCCAAGGCUGCACUUAUUCCAAAGAGACAAGAUCCCAGAGAAAUCACCAGGAUGGCCUGUGGAUAUUCUGCCACGAUCCCAGCAAUCCGCAGAAUUCGUGAUGAGGAGAAAAAGGACCCAGAUGUUGUCCAGAUGGAAUGUGUCCUGGCCAAACAGCGUGAAAGGGCCAGGGCACUGGAGAUCCCAAGCAGCAGAUGAUGAUGCCAACACUUCCGGCACUGCUCAGGGCACGCUUGGCAUCUCUACCACAACAGCGAAUGCUGAGGGCCAGUUUCUGGUAUCUGGUGAUUCCCAGACCUCAGACAUAAGCGUGCAGGCUGUGCAGCAAGAGCUGGAAGAGCCCACUGAGGGAGAAACUGCAGGACAGUUUCUGGUGAUUUGUUGUUGCACAGGUCUUGCCCCAUCUGAAGAGGCAGAAACAGCGCGUUCAGCUUCUCUUCUGGAGCCUCUGUCUGCAUCAGAUAUAGAUAGAGAAGAAGAAGAUUUAGAAAGCUCCUAUUCUUCUGAGGCUGCAUGCUCUGCGGUGGAGGCCAAUGCAGCAGCACUCCUCUUGUCGGUGUCUGAGGGAGGAGAAAGAGAAGAACAAGCUGUGGCCAUGCCUGAAGCUCUGGGAGAAGCAGGGAGUUUCCAGGAUCCCAUAGAGAUCAACAGGAGGGCCUGUGGGUGCCCUCAUAUGAUCCCAGCACUCCGAAGAAUUCUUGAUGAGGAUGGAAAUGAGCACAUCAUGUCACGCUGGAAUAUUUCCUGGCCAAAGAGUCUGAGAAGCUGCGGGCAGCAAAGCCUCCAGGCAAGAGAUAAUGCUUCCAACACUGCUGGUGCUGCUCAGGACGUGCCAGCCAUCACGGGCUCAUGGCUCUUAUCGUGA
rnacentral:lncRNA from 1 species